rnacentral:rRNA from 1 species
GCUGGCGGCAGGCCUAACACAUGCAAGUCGAACGGCAGCACAGUAAGAGCUUGCUCUUAUGGGUGGCGAGUGGCGGACGGGUGAGGAAUACAUCGGAAUCUACUCUUUCGUGGGGGAUAACGUAGGGAAACUUACGCUAAUACCGCAUACGACCUACGGGUGAAAGCGGAGGACCUUCGGGCUUCGCGCGAUUGAAUGAGCCGAUGUCGGAUUAGCUAGUUGGCGGGGUAAAGGCCCACCAAGGCGACGAUCCGUAGCUGGUCUGAGAGGAUGAUCARCCACACUGGAACUGAGACACGGUCCAGACUCCUACGGGAGGCAGCAGUGGGGAAUAUUGGACAAUGGGCGCAAGCCUGAUCCAGCCAUGCCGCGUGGGUGAAGAAGGCCUUCGGGUUGUAAAGCCCUUUUGUUGGGAAAGAAAAGCAGUCGGUUAAUACCCGAUUGUUCUGACGGUACCCAAAGAAUAAGCACCGGCUAACUUCGUGCCAGCAGCCGCGGUAAUACGAAGGGUGCAAGCGUUACUCGGAAUUACUGGGCGUAAAGCGUGCGUAGGUGGUGGUUUAAGUCUGUUGUGAAAGCCCUGGGCUCAACCUGGGAAUUGCAGUGGAUACUGGRUCACUAGAGUGUGGUAGAGGGUAGYGGAAUUCCCGGUGUAGCAGUGAAAUGCGUWGAGAUCGGGAGGAACAUCCGUGGCGAAGGCGGCUACCUGGACCAACACUGACACUGAGGCACGAAAGCGUGGGGAGCAAACAGGAUUAGAUACCCUGGUAGUCCACGCCCUAAACGAUGCGAACUGGAUGUUGG